GCGAGAGUAGCUCAGUGGUAGAGCCCCACCUUGCCAAGGUGGUUGUCGAGGGUUCAAAUCCCUUCUCUCGCU
rnacentral:tRNA from 1 species